GUGCCAGCAGCCGCGGUAAUACGUAGGGUGCGAGCGUUAAUCGGAAUUACUGGGCGUAAAGCGUGCGCAGGCGGCUUUGCAAGACAGAGGUGAAAUCCCCGGGCUCAACCUGGGAACUGCCUUUGUGACUGCAAGGCUAGAGUACGGCAGAGGGGGAUGGAAUUCCGCGUGUAGCAGUGAAAUGCGUAGAUAUGCGGAGGAACACCGAUGGCGAAGGCAAUCCCCUGGGCCUGUACUGACGCUCAUGCACGAAAGCGUGGGGAGCAAACAGGA
rnacentral:rRNA from 1 species